AUACUUACCUGGCAAGGGAGACACCGUGAUCAAGAAGGCGGUUCACCCAGGGCGAGGCUCAGCCAUUGCACUCCGGCUGUGCUGACCCCUGCGAAUUUCCCAAAUGUGGAAAUCUCGAUUGCAUAAUUUCUGGUAGUGGUGGACUGCGUUCGCGCUCUCCCCUG
rnacentral:snRNA from 1 species